rnacentral:rRNA from 1 species
UGCCAGCAUCCGCGGUACUCCUGAGGGUGCAAUCGUUGUUCGGAAUUACUGGGCGUAAAGCGCGCGUAGGCGGCUAUUUAAGUCUGAUGUGAAAGCCCGGGGCUCAACCCCGGAAGUGCAUUGGAAACUGGCGAACUUGAGUACGGGAGAGGAAAGUGGAAUUCCGAGUGUAGGGGUGAAAUCCGUAGAUAUUCGGAGGAACACCAGUGGCGAAGGCGGCUUUCUGGACCGAUACUGACGCUGAGACGCGAAAGCGUGGGGAGCAAACAGGAUUAGAUA